AUAAAGAGAAAGCAGGUAUGAAACUGCUUUCCUACGCGGUCAAAGUCUUGGGAGGAUGCGAUCUCGGCGCGAUAUUCCGCAGCCGCCGACUACACGGAUAUGAGAUCGGACGCGUAUUCAACUGCAAGGCGCAAGCCUUGCUUUUUUUU
rfam:Paramesorhizobium deserti strain A-3-E Scaffold2, whole genome shotgun sequence.